rnacentral:rRNA from 1 species
AACGAACGCUGGCGGUAUGCUUAACACAUGCAAGUCGAACGGACUUAUGGGGCUUGCUCCAUAAUGUUAGUGGCAAACGGGUGAGUAACGCGUGGGAAUCUACCCAUCAGUACGGAACAACAUUCGGAAACGAAUGCUAAUACUGUAUAUUCUCUACGGAGGAAAGAUUUAUCGCUGAUGGAUGAGCCCGCGUUAGAUUAGCUAGUUGGUAGGGUAAUGGCCUACCAAGGCGACGAUCUAUAGCUGGUCUGAGAGGAUGAUCAGCCACAC